rnacentral:piRNA from 1 species
UCGUUGUAGUUUUGUUUCGAC